GACGAACGCUGGCGGCGUGCUUAACACAUGCAAGUCGAACGGAAAGGCCCUGCUUGCAGGGUACUCGAGUGGCGAACGGGUGAGUAACACGUGGGUGAUCUGCCCUGCUCUUCGGGAUAAGCCUGGGAAACUGGGUCUAAUACCGGAUAGGAGCCAUUUUUAGUGUGAUGGUUGGAAAGUUUUUUCGGUGUAGGGUGAGCUCGCGACGUAUCAGCUUGUUGGUGGGGUGAUGGCCUACCAAGGCGGCGACGGGUAGCCGGCCUGAGAGGGUGGACGGCCACACUGGGACUGAGGGGAGGCCCAAGUACCUACGGGAGGGCGAAGUGGGGAAGAUUGCCCAAGGGGCGCAAGCCUGAUGCAGCGACGCCGCGUGGGGGAUGACGGCCUUCGGGUUGAAAACUCAUUUCGCUAGGGACGAAGCUUUUUGUGACGGUACCUAGACAAGAAGCACCGGCUAACUACGUG
rnacentral:rRNA from 1 species